rnacentral:hammerhead_ribozyme from 1 species
AUACAGCUGAGGAGUCCCAAAUAGGACGAAACGCCCGUCUUGGAU